CGGGGCCGCCGGAAGUUGGGCGUUGCCUCGUCGCGCGAGUCGGUUGCUCGCGGACCCGGCCUUGGAGACGCAGGUUCGGAGCCCUGAGAUUUGAAUGGCGUCGCGCCGUGGACUUUUGUUGAGAGAAUCAGCCUCCAACCCACAACAUCGUGGUGAAUGGGAAAGAAUGUGUAAACUUUGCCUCCUUUAAUUUUCUCGGGUUGCUGGCCAACCCCCGGGUGAAGAGGCUUGGACAGGCCUUGUCCCUGAACGCUGCACGUCCUGCCUGAGACUUCCACAGACCUUUUUAUUAUUUGGACCAAAUAUAUGGCUAGUCCUUGGUUCCUGAGUUUGGGAAAUCUUGGUGAGAUUCCUUUCUCUUGAGAUGAGAGGGUGUCUGUCAUGAGACUUUGACUGAAUUGAAGGGGACAGAGUCUUGGAACGGAAUUUGGAGGCCCUGGAAGCUAGGAUAUCUGCAGCAAGCAGAACCUCCGGAGCACAGUCUUGAAGGAAUGUUCCAGUGGCAUAGUCCUGCAGGACAACACCUGCAGGGGCCAGGCAGUGAGGUGUGCUCAGACCUGAGUCUUCUGGAUCCUGGGAAAUGGGUCUGAAACGGGAUGGAGUCUCACUGGUCUCCUGUGAUUCACUGUUGGUUGGAGACUUUGCCAACUCCCCAGCUUCCGUGGUGAGCCCCCAGGAAGAAGACUCUUCCUCCUCUGCCUCUUCCAGACGCCAGGCACCUUACUGUCUUUGGUAUGUCUCCACCCCCUGCUUGAGCAGUUUUUCAGGGUUUCUUCCGUCUUCUCCUUUCCUCGUCCCACUAGGGAAACACUUUGUGCAUCUCUUCUUGGGAGGCUCAUGUGUCUAUCAGAUCCAUGCCUGGAUCCCUCCAUGUCUGGAAUAUCUCUGGACCCUCUGAGUGGACACUCUGUGGAGGCUGGCUGUUGUCAUCUGCCCGUGACGAGGGGCAUGGACUGCUAUGAUUACCUUCUUCCUGACUUGUUACUGACAGUUUGUCCUGAGACGUCAUAAGGUCCAGAGAUAGUUGGACCUUGUGGGGCUGUUGGCCCUGUUGUAUGAAUCUCGUUAGUAACUGCUGUUCUAACUGCUCCUGAAACCUGGUCUGAAUGAAUUCCCCCGGGAGUUGGACAACAGACCCAUGGCCCUUGGACACCCAACUAUUUGAAGUGAGUGGAUUCCAAGCUUCGUGGGACUUUUUCACCAUGACUGGGUGAUUGCUGAAAUAUCAGAGAAGCAGAUGAGCCAGCCAUUAGAGAAACUUCUUACCUCUAGAAAUCUCAGACAAAAAAGGGCUGAGCUACUGUGUAUACCCCACAUUAUCACUUCUACUCUCUGCCCAACCAUAUCACUUCCUGUCUCCUGAAUGUACAGACCUCCAGACCUCUAUGGUUAACUAAUGGCUAGCACCAACUGCUGAUCUUCUGGCAAGUGUUAUUUGUCAGAACAUAAACAAACUACUAAAACACCAGGCCUAAACCAUUCUAGGAGGCCUACCUCAACCACCCCAGGCCUUGACCACUCAGGCAGCCUUUCCUCAACCAACCCAGGCCUUAAUAACUCAAGCAGGCCUAUUUCAACAAACCAGGCCUUAACCAUUCUAGGAGACAUCCCUCAACCACCCCGGGCCUUGACCACUCAGGGCGCCUUACUUCAACCAAACUAGGCAUUAAUCACUCAAGCAGGCCAACCUCAACCAUCCCAGGUCUUGACCACUUAGGCAGCCCUACCUCAACCAACCCAGGCCUUAAUCAUUCAAGCAGGCCUAUGUCAACCACUCCAGGCCUUAACCGUUCUAGGAGGCCUCCCUCAACCAUCCCAGAUCUUCACCACCCAAGCAGGCCCAUGCCAACCACCCCAGGCUUUGACCACUCAAGAAGGCCUAACUCAAGCCUUUCCUGGUACCAGGUUGCUGCCAAAACCUGAUGCCACUCCAGCUCAUCUCAUGAUGAAUCCUUGCAAGAGCAUCUUUCUCUCAGCCUCCAAGAUGCCUCGUUCUAGACAGGCCCCACAUCCAGGCAGAUGGAGGCUGGGGCACCCUCUUUCAUCAACCCUGAUAUCCAGGACAUGCUGGAAUUUCAGCUCAGCAAAAGAGUAGAACUAAAUGUUUGGAAGGGGAAAGGAAAAGAAUCAUCUGACCAUGCCUGGGCCACAUGGGCAAUAUCCUGCUGUCCUGGAGCAGCAAGUAGACCGCUACCACAUCAUGGCCCUUCUGGAACAGAAACUGCAAAUCAGGGCAGUUUUUAGGACAUUAGCAGUUCUUCUGCCAGAAGGUCUCAGGGAGAAAUUUAUAUCAGAAAUGUAGCCAGUUUUUCUGGGGCCUCACUUUCUCCACAGUGAGUCCCAAUGCCUACUGUCAACAUGGCACGAGCUCUCUACUUACAUCCCGGUACAACUUCAGACUAAUAUACCUCCACAGCUCUUUCCUACAAAGGCCUUGAUUCAUCACUUGGUCAAAUGCCAACCUUUGACUCAGAAGCUGUCCUGGACCUGAGCUCCACCAGUGGCUGCCAUCCAAACCAGGCCCCAGCCCCAUACUCUCUCCAGAAACUACCAAGCCAUUCACCUCCAAUUAGGGAUGAUGGGGCUUCUUGUCCUAAAGAUUCAUGAUCCCAAUUUAUUGUCCCACCUGCUGUUAGACACCUAGAGUGCCACCUUUUGAAGAAGCACCUAGAAAGUAAGACUGAUUUAUCAAACAUGGUUAAAAAGUAACAUAUACUGUUUGAUCAACUAACUUCCAAGAGCUGGGUACCCCAUAGACUGUAGACUGUUGUCUGCUGCCCAGGGGACCUUUUUAACCCCGAGCUCUGAGAGCAGAUGGAAGGACACUUAAAAACGAGAUUCACACAACACCAGGACUAACGGGCCUGCAAGGUCCAGCUCAGAACAAACUCCCAGGGAUGGGUCAGGCAGAAGUUACUCACUGACUCCAUGUCCCUCAGCACUGUUAGAUGAAAGCAGCAAGCAAGCAGAGUGUCUCAUCAAAGGGUCCAGAGAUGGAGAGACCCACGCAUGGUUCUGACAAAGUGGGAAGAGCUCUGAACGAUUUAUAUGGGAGCCCAGAAGUUGUGCUAGGCAAAGUUCUCAAGGCUAGCUCUGAGACAGGGAUGCAAACUUGCCACAUGAGACACCCAAGAAGUGACAUGACUCAUGAAGUGUUUCCCCGGUGGGACCAUGAAAGAAGCAGCUAGAAGACACCCUUAAAAAAACACUCAAGAAGCAAGUGGAAGCAUACCGAUGACAGUAAGGUUGUCAGUGGCAUUUUCUUUUCACGGAAUACAAAUGGACCAUACUUUGCUGCACACUAAAAACUCAGACAAAUAUGGAAACUUGGAAAAAAAAAUCCUUGAAUGAGUCAACCACCUGCAAGAAAACUUGUAAAGGGUAUCCUUCCUUCCUGGAUCCCACCACUCAGAAGGUGCUGGAAACACAUCUUACAAGACACCUGGUGAGGCUCACAUGGAGCCUUCCCCUCAGAAGCCUCAAGACCAUACAUGCUUUCAACAUGAACAAGGCUAUAGCUUGGCCCUUUCCACGGCACUCCUCUUUGUCCUCCUGAGAGUCAAGAAAUGACUCCAUUGACAAAAUGACCAGUGUCCUGGGAGAAGCUUUUCAGAAAGCCCCAGAGGAGAAAAUGAUGAAAAUAACCACCACUGUGGAAUCUCUUUCCAUACAGAUCCCUCUUUCUGCCCUCCAGCUCAAAUUCCUGAGAAAGGCUCCAUGUAGUGACAACUCUGGACCCUCUGAGGCACCUAUGACUGUUGAGGAGGACAAUAUAACUUCUGUGUCCACCCUACAGAGUCUCCUGGGCAGAGCCCAGGACCUUGGACAGACAACCCAGAGCCAAAUCCAGGCCUAGUCAAGUGUGUGUGAGUCACAGGAGAGUAAGGUGUGGCUUUUAGAGAUAUCUACCAUGAAGUGUCAGUUCGGGAGAUCAGUGUGGCAUCCUAGCCACCCAGCAGCAGGGAUAUGAGGGAGCUGGGUGAGGCAGAGGAGGAAGAGUCCUGUGACUGGACAAUCACCAUGGAAGCUGGGGAGAUGGCAAAAUCUCCAACCAACACUGGACAUUGCCUGCUAGAAUCAUUUCCCAGGAUCCAGAAGACUCGGGCCCGAGCACAUCUCACUGCUCAGCCCUGGUGUUGUCUUGCAGGACUGUGCCACUGGAACACUCUUUGAAGACUGUGACCCCAGGGUCUGCUUCUUACAGAUCCCCUGGCCUCCAGGGCCUCCCAGUCCAGCUUAGAGACUGUGUCUGCUUUAAGCCAAGUCAACCUCCCAUGACAGGUACCAUUUCUUGUCAAGAAAAGGGAAAGUCCACAAGAUUGCCAAACCAGGAACCAUGGACUAGCCAUAUCUUUUGGCCAAGUGACAAAAAAAAAAAAAAUUAUAGAACUUUGAGGCAGGACAAAUGGCUUUGAGGGACAUUGCCUGUCCUACAAUUCAAACACUAAGGAAUGUAAUUCUUCUCCAAUUACAGAGAAGAAGGUUGAAGACAGAAAAAAAAGUUUAUGGUGUAUAUUUUGACCUCCAAAGGGAUCCUUGGAAGCCCAUAUUCACCUCAAUGGAGGCUGCCAGCAUGCUGAGUUCUCCAGGCCCUCCCAGCUCAGUCAGGAGGGCAAAGCAGUAUUACCCUGUCCUAUGUCUGCCUUCAAUGCCAGAACGGUGGUCAGCAUGACACUGUCAACUUUCCAGGAGGGCAGCAGCUACAGAGACCCCUGGUCAUUUGCCAUUCCUUCUGGUCCACUGGAUAUACAGGACCCAUCUGACUGUGGGCAGGGGCCGAAUAUUUGGUAUGGAGACGAUUUUAUAAUACCACAACCAAUCAAGUACAAAGUGUGGACUGCAGUUCCAAUGGAUACAAGCACAAAACAAUUCCCUCACCUUAUGUUGAAGAUGCCAAAAGGAGGAACCCCCAGCCCUCUGAGAACAGCUACUCCCAUCACCAGCAAGGGUCACUAUGACCUAGAAGAAAGCAGAGUGGUGUGCCAUAUUAGUUGUGGCCAUCAUGCCAUCCCCAGAGGUGACAGUCAUUCAAUGAAGAACAGCUUUCAGCGCGUGGCUUCUGUCUGCACUAAGCUGGGCACAAGGCAAGGUCAGCAUUUGGUUGUCCUUGAAGCAGCUUCUAGAAGUGAAGGGCACAGAGACAUGACAGUGGCACUGAGACUCAUGCUCACCCCACAUCCCUAGCUGCAGCUAAGGCUUGCCAUCCCAGCAUCAGAGAAACCGUCGUAGAAAACCUUCACAUAUGUGGAGAUGCACUAAUCUGCCAGCGACCCCCCACCACUGGGUCUUGCUCAACCUGCCCCUCUGGUUUUGUCCUACAUUUGUGCCUGUGAAGGUAUGGCUGUGCAGAGGCACAAGAAGGCCCAAUAGCUCACAUGCCACAAGGAGGGUUCAGGAAUGUUGGGGUGUGGUGGUCUUCAGCUAAAAUUUGGAAGACUCCUGCAUCUAGUCUCCUGAGGGAAAUGAAUCCCCAGGAGCAAAGCCCAUGCUCUCCCUGCUGGAGCCAGUAGAAGCCACAGAGUCUCCCACCAUGAGAAGGCCACAGUCACCGUUUUCCUAACUUAUGUGCAUGUGUGUGCCUGUUUGUUUAUAUGUGCACAGCACAGCUGCAUUGUCUGUGGAGGCUUCAGAUCCCUGCAACUGGAGUUACGGGCAGCUGUGCACCACUUGAUGUGAGCACCGGGAACCAAACCCAGGUCCUCAGCUAGUGUUCCUAACUGAUGAGCUUUCUCCCCAGCUCCUCCACAUUUCUCUUUAGAAACUGAUAGAGCCCACCCAAGGUUCCCCUUAGACACGCCCUCCAGACCUUCACAUACCCCACAGAGACCCCUAGACACUCCCCCAUGGACAUUUAGGGACAUCCACACAGAGAACCCCAAAGUUCCCUCUCAGACCCUCUCUUCCAGACCUUCAAGCGCCCUCCAUAGAGACUUCUGGCCAACACAGAAACACAUGUAAUAACACCCUCAACACCAGCAAUAGCACGUGAGCUCCAGAGCCCACAGAGAUCUCACAGAAACCCUUACAUUCUCAUGUCAUCAUGCCAGCCACACUACACAAAGACUGGAAUAUGCUAACAUGUCGUCCAGGAAAGGUGGCCUACUAGGCCUCUUGAUUCUGACUUCACCUGGCUCCAGCCAUUUGCUGUCAUCUGCGGUGAUGACGCCAAAGCACCUGCUCCCUUAGCUCAGGACCUGGACUCCCCACCACCUGUUCAUUGAAGCCUUAACGAUCUUUACCAUUCCUCAGCAAUGGUCACAUGACCCCAAGAUGACUCUCAACUUGGGGAUCCUUCUGAAGCUUUGGAAUAAGCACCCCACACACUACCCUUCUAUUCCUGGGGUAACCAGCUGAACAUUUCACACAUCAUUUUCACUAUCAUGGAAGCUCAGAGGGAAGCAUGCUCAGGUUUUGUAUACCAUGGUCCCUGGAGUGAGGCAAACUUUAGUGGUUUCCCUUGCUUCAGCUAUAAAACAGGGCAGCGGGUGAGUGUUAAUACUGCAUGAAGGGAAAUGAGUUGCAAGACUGAAACACUAUGGUAGCCUUCUGGAUCAUUUUCCUAUCAUUCUUUUUUUGUGUGUGUGUGCAUUGUCACUGAUGUGAUUUUCACUGCUAAACCAUACACAAUAAAGUUUUUCCAAUAAAAUCAAACAAUGUCAUUUUAGCACAAAAGUUAGCAUUUGUAUCUAUUAGAAAGUCACAGUACACACAAUAAAAUAAUCUGCAUAAUCUUUCAGGUCAUUUUUUUCCACGUCACUUCCUGGCACAUGGCACGCACAGGGCUUACCUAACUUCCUCUGAUGGUAAAGGUCUCGUCCACAAUCCCAAAGCAUUUGCAGCUUUGACCUUGAAAACAUGGGCCUUACGGGGUUUGGCCCUUCCAAGC
ensembl:lncRNA